rnacentral:rRNA from 1 species
UACGAAGGGGGCUAGCGUUGCUCGGAAUUACUGGGCGUAAAGGGAGCGUAGGCGGAUAGUUUAGUCAGAGGUGAAAGCCCAGGGCUCAACCUUGGAAUUGCCUUUGAUACUGGCUAUCUUGAGUACGGAAGAGGUAUGUGGAACUCCGAGUGUAGAGGUGAAAUUCGUAGAUAUUCGGAAGAACACCAGUGGCGAAGGCGGCUCACUGGUCCACUACUGACGCUGAGGUGCGAAAGCGUGGGGAGCAAACAGG